rnacentral:rRNA from 1 species
CCUACGGGGGGCUGCAGUGGGGAAUAUUGGACAAUGGGGGCAACCCUGAUCCAGCCAUGCCGCGUGUGUGAAGAAGGCCCUCGGGUUGUAAAGCACUUUCAGUGAGGAAGAACGCCUGGUGGUUAAUACCCAUCAGGAAAGACAUCACUCACAGAAGAAGCACCGGCUAACUCCGUGCCAGCAGCCGCGGUAAUACGGAGGGUGCGAGCGUUAAUCGGAAUUACUGGGCGUAAAGCGCGCGUAGGUGGCUUGAUAAGCCGGUUGUGAAAGCCCCGGGCUCAACCUGGGAACGGCAUCCGGAACUGGCAAGCUAGAGUGCAGGAGAGGAAGGUAGAAUUCCCGGUGUAGCGGUGAAAUGCGUAGAGAUCGGGAGGAAUACCAGUGGCGAAGGCGGCCUUCUGGACUGACACUGACACUGAGGUGCGAAAGCGUGGGUAGCAAACAGGAUUAGAUACCCCGGUAGUC